UACGGGGGGGGCAAGCGUUGUUCGGAAUUACUGGGCGUAAAGGGCUCGUAGGCGGCCAACUAAGUCAGACGUGAAAUCCCCAGGCUUAACCUGGGAACUGCGUCUGAUACUGGAUGGCUUGAAUUCGGGAGAGGGAUGCAGAAUUCCAGGUGUAGCGGUGAAAUGCGUAGAGAUCCGGAGGAACCCCAGAGGCGAAGGCGGCCCCCUGGCUCGUACCUGACGCUCAGCCACGAAAGCAUGGGGAGCGAACGGG
rnacentral:rRNA from 1 species